GGUUAAGCGACUAAGCGUACACGGUGGAUGCCCUGGCAGUCAGAGGCGAUGAAGGACGUGCUAAUCUGCGAUAAGCGUCGGUAAGGUGAUAUGAACCGUUAUAACCGGCGAUUUCCGAAUGGGGAAACCCAGUGAUGWUUCGACACACUAUCAUUAACUGAAUCCAUAGGUUAAUGAGGCGAACCGGGGGAACUGAAACAUCUAAGUACCCCGAGGAAAAGAAAUCAACCGAGAUUCCCCCAGUAGCGGCGAGCGAACGGGGAGCAGCCCAGAGCCUGAAUCAGUGUGUGUGUUAGUGGAAGCGUCUGGAAAGGCGCGCGAUACAGGGUGACAGCCCCGUACACAAAAAUGCACAUGCUGUGAGCUCGAUGAGUAGGGCGGGACACGUGGUAUCCUGUCUGAAUAUGGGGGGACCAUCCUCCAAGGCUAAAUACUCCUGACUGACCGAUAGUGAACCAGUACCGUGAGGGAAAGGCGAAAAGAACCCCGGCGAGGGGAGUGAAAAAGAACCUGAAACCGUGUACGUACAAGCAGUGGGAGCACGCUUAGGCGUGUGACUGCGUACCUUUUGUAUAAUGGGUCAGCGACUUAUAUUCUGUAGCAAGGUUAACCGAAUAGGGGAGCCGAAGGGAAACCGAGUCUUAACUGGGCGUUAAGUUGCAGGGUAUAGACCCGAAACCCGGUGAUCUAGCCAUGGGCAGGUUGAAGGUUGGGUAACACUAACUGGAGGACCGAACCGACUAAUGUUGAAAAAUUAGCGGAUGACUUGUGGCUGGGGGUGAAAGGCCAAUCAAACCGGGAGAUAGCUGGUUCUCCCCGAAAGCUAUUUAGGUAGCGCCUCGUGAAUUCAUCUCCGGGGGUAGAGCACUGUUUCGGCAAGGGGGUCAUCCCGACUUACCAACCCGAUGCAAACUGCGAAUACCGGAGAAUGUUAUCACGGGAGACACACGGCGGGUGCUAACGUCCGUCGUGAAGAGGGAAACAACCCAGACCGCCAGCUAAGGUCCCAAAGUCAUGGUUAAGUGGGAAACGAUGUGGGAAGGCCCAGACAGCCAGGAUGUUGGCUUAGAAGCAGCCAUCAUUUAAAGAAAGCGUAAUAGCUCACUGGUCGAGUCGGCCUGCGCGGAAGAUGUAACGGGGCUAAACCAUGCACCGAAGCUGCGGCAGCGACACUAUGUGUUGUUGGGUAGGGGAGCGUUCUGUAAGCCUGUGAAGGUGUACUGUGAGGUAUGCUGGAGGUAUCAGAAGUGCGAAUGCUGACAUAAGUAACGAUAAAGCGGGUGAAAAGCCCGCUCGCCGGAAGACCAAGGGUUCCUGUCCAACGUUAAUCGGGGCAGGGUGAGUCGACCCCUAAGGCGAGGCCGAAAGGCGUAGUCGAUGGGAAACAGGUUAAUAUUCCUGUACUUGGUGUUACUGCGAAGGGGGGACGGAGAAGGCUAUGUUGGCCGGGCGACGGUUGUCCCGGUUUAAGCGUGUAGGCUGGUUUUCCAGGCAAAUCCGGAAAAUCAAGGCUGAGGCGUGAUGACGAGGCACUACGGUGCUGAAGCAACAAAUGCCCUGCUUCCAGGAAAAGCCUCUAAGCAUCAGGUAACAUCAAAUCGUACCCCAAACCGACACAGGUGGUCAGGUAGAGAAUACCAAGGCGCUUGAGAGAACUCGGGUGAAGGAACUAGGCAAAAUGGUGCCGUAACUUCGGGAGAAGGCACGCUGAUAUGUAGGUGAAGCKMCYUGCUSGUGGAGCUGAAAUCAGUCGAAGAUACCAGCUGGCUGCAACUGUUUAUUAAAAACACAGCACUGUGCAAACACGAAAGUGGACGUAUACGGUGUGACGCCUGCCCGGUGCCGGAAGGUUAAUUGAUGGGGUCAGCGCAAGCGAAGCUCUUGAUCGAAGCCCCGGUAAACGGCGGCCGUAACUAUAACGGUCCUAAGGUAGCGAAAUUCCUUGUCGGGUAAGUUCCGACCUGCACGAAUGGCGUAAUGAUGGCCAGGCUGUCUCCACCCGAGACUCAGUGAAAUUGAACUCGCUGUGAAGAUGCAGUGUACCCGCGGCAAGACGGAAAGACCCCGUGAACCUUUACUAUAGCUUGACACUGAACAUUGAGCCUUGAUGUGUAGGAUAGGUGGGAGGCUUUGAAGUGUGGACGCCAGUCUGCAUGGAGCCGACCUUGAAAUACCACCCUUUAAUGUUUGAUGUUCUAACGUUGACCCGUGAUCCGGGUUGCGGACAGUGUCUGGUGGGUAGUUUGACUGGGGCGGUCUCCUCCUAAAGAGUAACGGAGGAGCACGAAGGUUGGCUAAUCCUGGUCGGACAUCAGGAGGUUAGUGCAAUGGCAUAAGCCAGCUUGACUGCGAGCGUGACGGCGCGAGCAGGUGCGAAAGCAGGUCAUAGUGAUCCGGUGGUUCUGAAUGGAAGGGCCAUCGCUCAACGGAUAAAAGGUACUCCGGGGAUAACAGGCUGAUACCGCCCAAGAGUUCAUAUCGACGGCGGUGUUUGGCACCUCGAUGUCGGCUCAUCACAUCCUGGGGCUGAAGUAGGUCCCAAGGGUAUGGCUGUUCGCCAUUUAAAGUGGUACGCGAGCUGGGUUUAGAACGUCGUGAGACAGUUCGGUCCCUAUCUGCCGUGGGCGCUGGAGAACUGAGGGGGGCUGCUCCUAGUACGAGAGGACCGGAGUGGACGCAUCACUGGUGUUCGGGUUGUCAUGCCAAUGGCACUGCCCGGUAGCUAAAUGCGGAAGAGAUAAGUGCUGAAAGCAUCUAAGCACGAAACUUGCCCCGAGAUGAGUUCUCCCUGACUCCUUGAGAGUCCUGAAGGAACGUUGAAGACGACGACGUUGAUAGGCCGGGUGUGUAAGCGCAGCGAUGCGUUGAGCUAACCGGUACUAAUGAACCGUGAGGCUUAACCUUAC
rnacentral:rRNA from 1 species